UUUCCGUAGGUGAACCUGCGGAAGGAUCAUUAUUGGAUUUUGAAACUUCAGGCUGCUGCUGGCUCUCCUCGGAGGGCAUGUGCACGCUUGUUGUCCAUUAUUUCUCCCACUGUGCGUAAAUUGUAGACCUUUCAGUAGGCCUAUGUUGUUCUUCACAAUCUCUGAAUGUAAUAGAAUGGUUUUGAAUCUUGGGAAAUACAAUACAACUUUCAGCAACGGAUCUCUUGGCUCUC
rnacentral:misc_RNA from 1 species